rnacentral:rRNA from 1 species
ACGCUCGACACCUACGGGAGGCAGCAGUGGGGAAUAUUGCACAAUGGGGGAAACCCUGAUGCAGCGACGCCGCGUGGAGGAAGAAGGUCCUCGGAUUGUAAACUCCUGUUGUUGGGGAAAAAGAGGAUGGUACCCAACAAGGAAGUGACGGCUAACUACGUGUCAGCAGCCGCGGUAAUCUGAGCGGGCUGGCAAGGC